rnacentral:rRNA from 1 species
UUCAUAGAGAGUUUGAUCCUGGCUCAGGAUGAACGCUGGCGGCGUGCCUAACACAUGCAAGUCGAACGGGACUUACGGGAAGAAGUUUUCGGACGGAAGACUGUAAGCUCUAGUGGCGGACGGGUGAGUAACGCGUGAACAAUCUGCCUUUCAGAGGGGGACAACAGCUGGAAACGGCUGCUAAUACCGCAUAACAUAUUUGGAUCGCAUGGUCUGGAUAUCAAAGGAGCAAUCCGCUGAAAGAUGAGUUCGCGUCUGAUUAGCUAGUUGGCGGGGUAACGGCCCACCAAGGCGACGAUCAGUAGCCGGGUUGAGAGACUGAACGGCCACAUUGGGACUGAGAUACGGCCCAGACUCCUACGGGAGGCAGCAGUGGGGAAUAUUGGGCAAUGGGGGAAACCCUGACCCAGCAACGCCGCGUGAAGGAAGAAGGCUUUCGGGUUGUAAACUUCUUUGACAGGGGAAGAUAAUGACGGUACCCUGAAAACAAGCUCCGGCUAACUACGUGCCAGCAGCCGCGGUAAUACGUAGGGAGCAAGCGUUAUCCGGAUUUACUGGGUGUAAAGGGCGUGUAGGCGGGACAGCAAGUCAGGUGUGAAAUCUGGGGGCUCAACCCCCAAACUGCACUUGAAACUGUUGUUCUUGAGUGACGGAGAGGCAGGCGGAAUUCCCGGUGUAGCGGUGGAAUGCAUAGAUAUCGGGAGGAACACCAGUGGCGAAGGCGGCCUGCUGGACGUUAACUGACGCUGAGGCGCGAAAGCGUGGGGAGCAAACAGGAUUAGAUACCCUGGUAGUCCACGCCGUAAACGAUGGAUACUAGGUGUGGGGGGACUGACCCCCUCCGUGCCGGAGUUAACACAAUAAGUAUCCCACCUGGGGAGUACGGCCGCAAGGCUGAAACUCAAAGGAAUUGACGGGAGCCCGCACAAGCAGUGGAGUAUGUGGUUUAAUUCGAAGCAACGCGAAGAACCUUACCAGGGCUUGACAUGGAGACGACCGGUAUAGAGAUAUACCUUCCCUUCGGGGCGUCUCACACAGGUGGUGCAUGGUUGUCGUCAGCUCGUGUCGUGAGAUGUUGGGUUAAGUCCCGCAACGAGCGCAACCCUUAUGGUUAGUUGCUACGCAAGAGCACUCUAGCCAGACUGCCGUUGACAAAACGGAGGAAGGUGGGGACGACGUCAAAUCAUCAUGCCCCUUAUGUCCUGGGCUACGCACGUACUACAAUGGCGGUCAUACAGAGGGAAGCAAUACGGUAACGUGGAGCAAAUCCCUAAAAGCCGCCUCAGUUCGGAUUGUGGGCUGCAACUCGCCCACAUGAAGUCGGAAUUGCUAGUAAUCGCGGAUCAGAAUGCCGCGGUGAAUACGUUCCCGGGCUUUGUACACACCGCCCGUCACACCAUGAGAGUCGGGAACACCCGAAGUCGGUAGCCUAACCGUAAGGAGGGCGCCGCCGAAGGUGGGUUCGAUAAUUGGGGUGAAGUCGUAACAAGGUAGCCGUAUCGGAAGGUGCGGCUGGAUCACCUCCUUU